UACAGAGGAUGCAAGCGUUAUCCGGAAUGAUUGGGCGUAAAGCGUCUGUAGGUGGCUUUUUAAGUCCGCCGUCAAAUCCCAGGGCUCAACUCUGGACAGGCGGUGGAAACUACCAAGCUGGAGUACGGUAGGGGCAGAGGGAAUUUCCGGUGGAGCGGUGAAAUGCGUAGAGAUCGGAAAGAACACCAGUGGCGAAGGCGGGUCUCUGGGCCGAUACUGACGCUGAGGAGCGAAAGCGUGGGGAGCGAACAGG
rnacentral:rRNA from 1 species